rnacentral:rRNA from 1 species
UACGUAGGGUGCGAGCGUUUAAUCGGAAUUACUGGGCGUAAAGCGUGCGCAGGCGGUCUGUUAAGACCGAUGUGAAAUCCCCGGGCUUAACCUGGGAAUUGCGAUGAAGACUGCAAGGCUUGAAUCUGGCAGAGGGGGGUAGAAUUCCACGUGUAGCAGUGAAAUGCGUAGAGAUGUGGAGGAAUACCGAUGGCGAAGGCAGCCCCCUGGGAUAACACUGACGCUCAUGCACGAAAGCGUGGGGAGCAAACAGG